AUCUGCUGCAAGAAAAAACAAGACAGCUUUUGUUAGCGUGUUACUGCUAUAGUAUUUUAUAUGAUCAAACACAUCCAGUGAAAUAGUUUCACCAAGCAUUCCAGCACUUGAAAAACAGUGACAGCAACACAAGAAAGGAAUGUAUGGGGGUGUGCACGUAUACGCUCAAAUAAAGAAGAGAACAAGCAACAGGGAUCCCUGCACAACCUGAUACACCAGCUUGACACUUUAACUGCUCUUUCUAUCCCAUCCUAAAUUCCAUUAAGUUUCACAAAAACAGUCAAGAGGGCAAGAAACUGCAUAACCCCAUGUUAUCUGACAAAAAAUACAUGACCCACAAAAUAACCAAAGAAGCAACACUACCUGUUCUCUCAAACCAAGGAAUAAAAACGGCCAGAUACAAAUAAGUUUCAGAAGCAACAUACUGUUCUCUCAUACUGCUCAUACAUGUUCUCUACUGCUCUGCCGGCAAACCACAGGUAAGAGGUGUGUUUUCUUUCUAUUUUAAGGUCGAGAUUUGCUUAAAUGAAGAAUGUUUUCUGGUUUGCUUUGAAGUAAUGAGCCUCAAAUCUUAUUUCACAAGAUUUUUGAGCAAAGAUAAGUAUCACUCAUAUUUGAACUUCAUCUUUAUUACAUAUACUCCUUUGACAACUAUCAGAUGCCAUAUUCUAACAUGCUUCAAGUUCCUAAAAGUCAGUAUUUUGGUUGGUUUAGUUCAUCUGCAUUUACUGAGCUUGCAAAAGAUUUCCUGAUGGAACACACAAAAUCCAGUUCUUUAGCCUGAUGUCACUAGAAGGUCAGAGUCCCCAUACUGAUAAAAGUCCAGCUACUUCAAAAAUCAAUUUUGUGUCUUGCUAUAUUCUCACUUUUUUUGUUCACUAAUUAGGUAAGGCCAGAUCUUCCAUUUUUAUGCAAGUCUUCAGUAUUGGGCUUAAAAGCAGAGGGCCAUUACUCUCCAGUGAGUUUGGGGACCUUGGUAGAACUGUUUACCAUGCAACAUGUGGAAAGGUGGUAAAAUUUGAGACUUGGAUUAUACUCUCCCAGGGAAAAGGACAUCUCCUCCUUGCUUGUACAGAGUGUCCAUCUUUGGUGCUAUAAAAUAAGUUAGUGUGUAGCACAAAGAAUUCUUCACCUACAACAAACAAGAGACUGAGAUUUUGUCUUAAUAGCAAAGGAACAUGUCAAGAAGUUUGUAUUCUGGCAGGCCAAAGAGAUGCAUGGAGUUCAUUUCACUGCUGCCCUUAUGAGGAAAUUUUGACAAUAGGAUUUUCAGGCUUUGGAAUACAGUACACUGGAUACACUGCACUCACUUGUUCUUAAAUCAACGACAAAUUGUUUUAUGAAUGGCAGCAGGCUGAAAAGUGAGCAGCAGUUUACCACAUCAAUGCAAAAUUACCAAAACUGUUGAUAACUGGGAUAUUCAAUUGAAUAUUCACUUUGGCUACUGCCUCGCUUAACCUCACGUAUGAGAUUUUGGGUGUUAAUGGCUUUCAAAAUGUAGGUAAAGCCACUUUUACAGAUGUUCUCCCCUUAUUAUUUCACAAACCGUUGAUGUGAAGCUGCAGUGAAAAAUACAUGGAAGGGCUGCAUAAUCAAAGUGAGAGGAAACAUUAGAGAGAAGGGUAUGCAUGUGGCUUUCUGCUACUUGUGUCAGAAAACAUAUGUUCUUUCUCUUUUUUUAUCAACUUUGCGCCUGACUGUUAAGCCAAGACACAAAAAAUACUACAGUUCCAAUUUCAAAGUUGCCAAGAACAAAGCCUAGCCCAAGUCCUUUCCUGAAACAGUCCUCCAAAGAUCACUGCAGUAUUACCUCCUUCUGUAGGACUGAAAGCAUUUAUGGUAGCAAAUAAAGCAGCACCAACAUCAGAAACUUGUUCAGAUUCUGAGAUCCAAGGAUAAGAGAUCCUGAGAAUUUACAUAAAACAAAUGGUCACCUUUUUCAAACACUUGAACGCAAAGUACUGUUUUUUCUCCCAUCUAUUCUUUUUUUUUAAUAUAUAUAUACAGUAAUAUAAAUUUUUGUAAUUUUUAUAUACAUAUACAGUAAUAAAACCCACGUGUUUUAUUGAGUUAGGAAACACAAAUCAAAAUCUUACGGAAAUCAACUUAGUUGCAGUUUUAAACUGUUUAGCAAGCAAAAUUAAAAUCAAAGUUCCUCCACAGAAUUUAACAAAGCCUACUAGCUCUUGCUAUAUGAGUUAGUUUAAGUAAAAAUAUACAAUUCUAUGUAAAAAAAUACACUAUUAAAAGACCAUAUGGCUUACUGACUUGAUUUUGUAAGCGUAGAAGCUAUUAAUGCAUGUCCAGAAUUGUAGACUCAGCCCUAACAGAAAGCUACUUUUGAGAAGCAAUUUACCUUUCUAUUCUUUUGGUUCCUCUAGUGGAACUAAAAUGCAUCCAACUUAACACCAAUAAAUGAAAUAUAUCUGCAGUUCAAAUGCUAACAAAUCUUGAGCCUGAUUACACCAAAGGAUGUGCAGAAUUUUGCGCUGCUGCCUGAAGUAACACCCAUUCAGCUGUAAGGUGGAGAGAACAUGUGUGUGGUUUUUAUUUCCACAGUCACAGGAGGAACGGAUGUGUUUCACCGAUGAGUGGUUUGCUUUUGCAGGGGCAAACCUGCAGCACACUUUGAUUUGGUCUCUUUUUUUUUUAAGGUGCUCAUUGCCUUGGUUGCAGCCGAUUCAAAAUGCCUGUAAAUGUUUCAAGGAGCAUGAUAAACAGUUGUGCUUUACUGAAAAAACCAGAACUUCUGACCUUCAGAGAAAAAAACACUUUGUGCAAGAAACAGAGCUUCUCCUGGGAGCUGGUUUCAAAGCAAGGCUGAAGAAAUCGUAUCUCACCAUCGUGCAAAAUGCAAGUUUUAUGGGCAAAGUUCCCUGAGAAGAUCAAGAAGAUGUGGAAGAAAUAUCCUUCGAUGUUUCUUUGUUUCCGAAACACAACAAUAUGGUGUUCAGUGGCAUGAGCCAGUCUUCAGUCAGGUCAAGGGGACUGUUGCUGUUAGCUCUAAGAGGUUUGGUAUGGAUGUCCAUAGGACAAAGGCCUGGAGACAUGAACCGUGCUGGCUUUAAGCUGACUUCUUAUCAUUCUGUUCUAACCUGUUUGGGGGAAUGCUAACAUUUUUGACCUGUUUAAGACGCCUAUUUUGCCCCUAACCACCCAUUUUAUUGUAACUUUCGUGAGCUCAGCCCAUUGUCUUCAAUGCUGUGCUGUGUCGCAGUUACGGAACGCUGCUCUAACUUCCUUCUUGCACUCCACACACCACAUCUUGCCAAGCAAUACCUCUAAAGCAGCUUUGUUACUAUGUUUCAAAGUGACUUUCAUUCAAAAAAAAUUCAGGGUUCUUAAAUUUCUUGGAUACUCUAAUCUUUUCCCCCAUCUAGCAAGGGAGGGUGCAGAGUGAGGAUGAAGUUGCUGAACAGAAAAGCAUUUCUAAGUACUUCAAAACUUUCAGACUAUACAAUUUCCUAAACAGAUUCUGUAAGAAAAGCUGAGUUAUCCAAAAAGUUAUUAUUUUACUUUCUUAUACUUUCAUUGAUGAUAUAGCAAAAAAAAUUAAUAUUUAUGUUUGAUUUUCUAUAUCUCGCACUUCAGUUACAAUAUAAAUUCAAUUAAGCAUUGAUCAGCUUCCAGAACUUUUAGAGUAUUAAUUUUAUUAACUACCUUAUGAAGACUAUUAGGAUAUCAGAAAUUACAGUUUGGACUGGAAUUGUUUUAAUUGCUAGAUAAAGAAGUAGCAAUUAUUUAUAUGGUUAAGUCUCUGUAUUUCUAAUUACCUUUUUGUGCCUGCACCACUUCAUCAUCUAAUUCCUUUGGAACAAAGAUCUCCUUUAUAGCAAUUAAAUCAUUUUUCACAGUC